rnacentral:rRNA from 1 species
AGUGAACGCUGGCGGUAGGCCUAACACAUGCAAGUCGAACGGCAGCACAGUAAGAGCUUGCUCUUACGGGUGGCGAGUGGCGGACGGGUGAGGAAUACCUCGGAAUCUACUUUUUCGUGGGGGAUAACGUAGGGAAACUUACGCUAAUACCGCAUACGACCUACGGGUGAAAGCAGGGGAUCUUCGGACCUUGCGCGAUUGAAUGAGCCGAUGUCGGAUUAGCUAGUUGGCGGGGUAAAGGCCCACCAAGGCGACGAUCCGUAGCUGGUCUGAGAGGAUGAUCAGCCACACUGGAACUGAGACACGGUCCAGACUCCUACGGGAGGCAGCAGUGGGUAAUAUUGGACAAUGGGCGCAAGCCUGAUCCAGCCAUACCGCGUGGGUGAAGAAGGCCUUCGGGUUGUAAAGCCCUUUUGUUGGGAAAGAAAAGCAGCAGGUUAAUACCCCGCUGUUCUGACGGUACCCAAAGAAUAAGCACCGGCUAACUUCGUG